UACAGAGGUGGCAAGCGUUGUUCGGAAUCACUGGGCGUAAAGGGUGCGUAGGCGGGUCUUUAAGUCAGGGGUGAAAUCCUGGAGCUCAACUCCAGAACUGCCUUUGAUACUGAGGAUCUUGAGUCCGGGAGAGGUGAGUGGAACUGCGAGUGUAGAGGUGAAAUUCGUAGAUAUUCGCAAGAACACCAGUGGCGAAGGCGGCUCACUGGCCCGGUACUGACGCUGAGGCACGAAAGCGUGGGGAGCAAACAGG
rnacentral:rRNA from 1 species